AGGGCAGAGGGAGAGAAUCUUCGAGCAGGCUCCCUGUUAAGGGCAGAGCUCAAUAUCAUGAACCAUGAGAUCAUGACCUGAGCAGAAACCAAGAGUCAGAUGCUCACCCAGCUGACUGAGCCACCUAGAUGCACCUAAAAGAAAUUUAAAAAGGGCUACUUGACCAGAACUGAAACCAGAUGAAGAGGAAAUGGAUCUCCAAUUUGAAGUGUGAUAGUUGCUUAAAAGAUCUCUCCAUGAGUGGACAGACAGUGAAGCCACAGCCUCAGAGAUGCUACUUGAUUUUUCCUGUCCUGCUCUGAUGGAUCUUGUAAGAAUGGAGCAAAAGCCAAAAAGUCACUUCAAAUAAACUAGGACACAUUCUAAGAUGGUGCA
rnacentral:lncRNA from 1 species